GCCCCUACGGGACGCAGCAGUGAGGAAUAUUGGUCAAUGGGCGGGAGCCUGAACCAGCCAAGUCGCGUGAGGGAAGACGGUCCUAUGGAUUGUAAACCUCUUUAGGCGGGGAGCAAUGCCGGGCACGCGUGCCCGGAGGGAGAGUACCCGCAGAAUAAGCAUCGGCUAACUCCGUGCCAGCAGCCGCGGUAAUACGUAGGUGGCAAGCGUUGUCCGGAUUUACUGGGGGUAAAGGGCGUGCAGCCGGAGAGACAAGUCAGAUGUGAAAUCCACGGGCUCAACCCGUGAACUGCAUUUGAAACUGG
rnacentral:rRNA from 1 species